rnacentral:rRNA from 1 species
AGCGUAGGCGGCUGAUUAAGUCAGCGGUGAAAGGUAGCAGCUUAACUGUUUUACAUGCCGUUGAUACUGGUUAGCUUGAGUUGACAGAAGGCAGAUAGAAUUCCUGAUGUAGCGGUGAAAUGCUUAGAUAUCAGGAGGAAUACCGAUUGCGAAGGCAGUCUGCUGCAGUCACACUGACGCUCAUAUGCGAAAGCGUGGGGAUCAAACAGGAUUAGAUACCCCAGUA